GCCGGGUGCAGUGGCGUGCACCUGUAGUCCUAGCUACUUGGGAGGCUGAGGCAGAAGGAUUACUUAAGCCCAGGAAUUUGAGUCUAGCCUGGGCAACAUAGUGAGACCCUAUCUCUU
rnacentral:SRP_RNA from 1 species